CCUACGGGGGGCAGCAGUGAGGAAUAUUGGUCAAUGGGCGCGAGCCUGAACCAGCCAAGUCGCGUGAGGGAUGAAGGUUCUAUGGAUCGUAAACCUCUUUUAUAAGGGAAUAAAGUGUGGGACGUGUCCUAUUUUGUAUGUACCUUAUGAAUAAGGAUCGGCUAACUCCGUGCCAGCAGCCGCGGUAAUACGGAGGAUCCGAGCGUUAUCCGGAUUUAUUGGGUUUAAAGGGUGCGUAGGCGGCCUUUUAAGUCAGCGGGGAAAGUUUGUGGAUCAACCAAUGAAUUGCCGGUGAAACUGGGGGGCUUGAGUAGGUUUGAGGCAGGCGGAAUGCGUGGUGUAGCGGUGAAAUGCUUAGAUAUCACGCAGAACCCCGAUUGCGAAGGCAGCCUGCCAAGCCAUGACUGACGCUGAUGCACGAAAGCGUGGGGAUCAAACAGGAUUAGAUACCCCUGGUAGUC
rnacentral:rRNA from 1 species